CGACCGGCGCACGGGUGAGUAACGCGUAUGUAAUCUACCUGUAACAGAGGGAUAACCCGGAGAAAUCCGGACUAAUACCUCAUAGCACAUAUUAUUCGCAUGAAUUUUAUGUUAAAGAGACUCGGUUACAGAUGAACAUGCGUUCCAUUAGCUAGUUGGCGGGGUUACGGCCCACCAAGGUAACGAUGGAUAGGGGUUCUGAGAGGAAGGUCCCCCACACUGGUACUGAGACACGGACCAG
rnacentral:rRNA from 1 species